GAUGAACGCUGGCGGCGUGCCUAAUACAUGCAAGUCGAGCGAACAGACGAGGAGCUUGCUCCUUUGACGUUAGCGGCGGACGGGUGAGUAACACGUGGGUAACCUACCUAUAAGACUGGGAUAACUUCGGGAAACCGGAGCUAAUACCGGAUAAUAUUUCGAACCGCAUGGUUCGAUAGUGAAAGAUGGCUUGGCUAUCACUUAUAGAUGGACCUGCGCCGUAUUAGCUAGUUGGUAAGGUAACGGCUUACCAAGGCAACGAUACGUAGCCGACCUGAGAGGGUGAUCGGCCACACUGGAACUGAGACACGGUCCAGACUCCUACGGGAGGCAGCAGUAGGGAAUCUUCCGCAAUGGGCGAAAGCCUGACGGAGCAACGCCGCGUGAGUGAUGAAGGUCUUCGGAUCGUAAAACUCUGUUAUUAGGGAAGAACAAACGUGUAAGUAACUGUGCACGUCUUGACGGUACCUAAUCAGAAAGCCACGGCUAACUACGUG
rnacentral:rRNA from 1 species